AAUUUUACCAUUAAAAUUUUAAUAGGUAAAAUACCACUAUACCCUUAAGUAAUUAAACUUAAAACUAUUCUCAUUCUUCUCCAUGAUUUCUCAGAUUCAACUUUAACGUCAUCAAAUCUGGCGACGACGAGUUCUCCGGCCAGAUCCGACGAGGACGAUGCUGACAAGUUCUCCGGCCAGAUCGGACUACGCUGACGAGUUCUCCGGCCAGAUCCGACGACACUAACGAGUUUUCUGGCCAGAUCGGACGACGCUGACGAGUUCUCCGGCCAGAUCCGACAACAUUAAUUGACGAAUUCUCCGGCCAGAUCCGAAGAAGCUGACGAUCUCUGUGACGAAGCUAACAAAGGUGACCAGAAAAUCGAUUGUGAUCAUCAUAUCGUUGUUUAAUUUUAGCAUGGUUUCUCACAAAUCAGUUUGUGGGAAGGAAAGCCUUAUAAAACCUUAUAAAUAUUUAUCUAUGAAAUUUCUGGGAAGUUUCUCAAAAAGAUAGUUUGACUUGGUUCUUGUCUACCUAUUUGCUUGUUUAAAUAACUCGGAAGAUUUUGUUUUGACUAAGUAAUUGAUCAUCGUCUCUGACACAUGAUGAUAACCAAUUUUGCUCCUCGUCAUAUUGGUUGUUUUUCAGAGUUCUGGCUUGAACUCAAAGUGUUUCUUUACAAUGAUUUUCUUUUUGUUUGACUCUGUUUUUCCGUAGUAACGUUUUCAGCGUUGAUUCCUCUGAGUGAGUUCUCUGAAGCUUCCAUGAUGAAGAAGUAUGGUUUGAAGCCAGAUGCUGAAACCCUUGACAUUGCCAACACCACCGCUAGGCAAAAAUCGAUUACAGACUUACAGUAGAGAUGAAGAUAUAUUGAGGAGAUCCUCGUGAGAAGAUAUGUGAAGCUGUUGAUCAUAUCCCUCUCUCAAGCCUUGGUGGCCUUGAGAGGAUGAUAAUGGGAAGUGUUAGCAACCAUGUUGUCAACAACGUUGCAUGCCCUGUCACCGUCGUGAAGUCUCACCACUGAGCUUUGCCUUCAUCUUCUUCACAUCAUCUGCUCCGAUAACCUUAAUCAGAAUGACCUGUGGUGUAUUGUGUUUGUUGGUUGUGUCUGAAUUUGUAAUUUUCAAACUCUGGUGUGAUUUGUCAAGCGGAAGGACCGAGAAAAUACAAGUAACUAACAAACACAUACGCAUUAAGGAAGAAACUGACUCCAAUGAUUCAGAGUUUUGGAUGCUUAAGUCAAGUUCUGGUUCAGACUUAGAGUCAUAGCAGGAGAGUGAUGAAGAAAACUGCAAAGGUUCUCAUUGUGAUGCCAAAGAAUAUGAGGAGCUCUCAGAAAGAACAAAGAGGAUGUCAAUAGAGAUUGGACCAAGUAUGAUCAUUACGGCAGCGCCACUAUGAUCAUGAGGCUCAAGGCUACUAUUCAGUCUUUGGAAGGGCGGAUGAGUUCUGUUACUGAGAAAAGUGCUAAGUAUGCUCAGAUUGCUGCUGAGGAAGUGCCCAAGAGUCUUUACUGCCUUGGUGUUCGUCUAACUGAGUGAUUUUAGAACUCUGAGUUACAGGGGAAGCUUAAGCUCUUUGUCCACUCUUAUGAUCAGUGGAGAGCUUAAGAUGUAUUCUCACCUCAAGCAGUUUACUUUCCUUGAUCUCAAGUUGGCUAUUAGAAAUUUCAGACCCGAAAGUCUUCUCAGAGAAAGUGGCUUUGGUUGCGUCUUUAAAGGAUGGAUGGAGGAGAACGGAACUGCUCCUGUUAAGCCUGGCACUGGCCUUACUGUUGCUGUCAAAACCUUGAAUCUUGAUGGCCUUCAGGGUCAUAAAGAGUGGCUUGUAUGAUCCUUAAAAACACUUCUAAAUAGAUUUAUAAACUCUUAUAAAUUGUGUAAUGAAGAUUAUUAAAUUUUUAUAAUCUUUUGAAUAAACCCUUAUAAAUAGAUUUAUAUUUCAUAUAUA